UAGGGAAUAUUGGGCAAUGGAGGGAACUCUGACCCAGCCAUGCCGCGUGCAGGAUGAAGGCGUUAUGCGUUGUAAACUGCUUUUAUAUAGGAAGAAAUAGUCCUUGCGAGGAAAGUUGACGGUACUAUAUGAAUAAGCACCGGCUAACUCCGUGCCAGCGGCCGCGGUAAUACGGAGGGUGCAAGCGUUGUCCGGAUUUAUUGGGUUUAAAGGGUGCGUAGGCGGUUUAUUAAGUCAGUGGUGAAAGACGGUCGCUCAACGAUUGCAGUGCCAUUGAUACUGGUAGACUUGAGUAUGAUUGAGGUAGCUGGAAUGGAUAGUGUAGCGGUGAAAUGCAUAGAUAUUAUCCAGAACACCAAUUGCGUAGGCAAGUUACUAAGUCAUAACUGACGCUGAGGCACGAAAGUGUGGGUAUCAAACAGGAUUAGAUACCCCAGUAGUCCCUGAGCGGGCUGGCAAGGCGCAU
rnacentral:rRNA from 1 species